rnacentral:rRNA from 1 species
AGCGUACACGGUGGAUGCCCUGGCAGUCAGAGGCGAUGAAGGACGUGCUAAUCUGCGAUAAGCGUCGGUAAGGUGAUAUGAACCGUUAUAACCGGCGAUUUCCGAAUGGGGAAACCCAGUGUGAUUCGUCACACUAUCAUUAACUGAAUCCAUAGGUUAAUGAGGCGAACCGGGGGAACUGAAACAUCUAAGUACCCCGAGGAAAAGAAAUCAACCGAGAUUCCCCCAGUAGCGGCGAGCGAACGGGGAGCAGCCCAGAGCCUGAAUCAGUGUGUGUGUUAGUGGAAGCGUCUGGAAAGGCGCGCGAUACAGGGUGACAGCCCCGUACACAAAAAUGCACAUGCUGUGAGCUCGAUGAGUAGGGCGGGACACGUGGUAUCCUGUCUGAAUAUGGGGGGACCAUCCUCCAAGGCUAAAUACUCCUGACUGACCGAUAGUGAACCAGUACCGUGAGGGAAAGGCGAAAAGAACCCCGGCGAGGGGAGUGAAAAAGAACCUGAAACCGUGUACGUACAAGCAGUGGGAGCACGCUUAGGCGUGUGACUGCGUACCUUUUGUAUAAUGGGUCAGCGACUUAUAUUCUGUAGCAAGGUUAACCGAAUAGGGGAGCCGAAGGGAAACCGAGUCUUAACUGGGCGUUAAGUUGCAGGGUAUAGACCCGAAACCCGGUGAUCUAGCCAUGGGCAGGUUGAAGGUUGGGUAACACUAACUGGAGGACCGAACCGACUAAUGUUGAAAAAUUAGCGGAUGACUUGUGGCUGGGGGUGAAAGGCCAAUCAAACCGGGAGAUAGCUGGUUCUCCCCGAAAGCUAUUUAGGUAGCGCCUCGUGAAUUCAUCUCCGGGGGUAGAGCACUGUUUCGGCAAGGGGGUCAUCCCGACUUACCAACCCGAUGCAAACUGCGAAUACCGGAGAAUGUUAUCACGGGAGACACACGGCGGGUGCUAACGUCCGUCGUGAAGAGGGAAACAACCCAGACCGCCAGCUAAGGUCCCAAAGUCAUGGUUAAGUGGGAAACGAUGUGGGAAGGCCCAGACAGCCAGGAUGUUGGCUUAGAAGCAGCCAUCAUUUAAAGAAAGCGUAAUAGCUCACUGGUCGAGUCGGCCUGCGCGGAAGAUGUAACGGGGCUAAACCAUGCACCGAAGCUGCGGCAGCGACGCUGAUGCGUUGUUGGGUAGGGGAGCGUUCUGUAAGCCUGCGAAGGUGUGCUGUGAGGCAUGCUGGAGGUAUCAGAAGUGCGAAUGCUGACAUAAGUAACGAUAAAGCGGGUGAAAAGCCCGCUCGCCGGAAGACCAAGGGUUCCUGUCCAACGUUAAUCGGGGCAGGGUGAGUCGACCCCUAAGGCGAGGCCGAAAGGCGUAGUCGAUGGGAAACAGGUUAAUAUUCCUGUACUUGGUGUUACUGCGAAGGGGGGACGGAGAAGGCUAUGUUGGCCGGGCGACGGUUGUCCCGGUUUAAGCGUGUAGGCUGGUUUUCCAGGCAAAUCCGGAAAAUCAAGGCUGAGGCGUGAUGACGAGGCACUACGGUGCUGAAGCAACAAAUGCCCUGCUUCCAGGAAAAGCCUCUAAGCAUCAGGUAACAUCAAAUCGUACCCCAAACCGACACAGGUGGUCAGGUAGAGAAUACCAAGGCGCUUGAGAGAACUCGGGUGAAGGAACUAGGCAAAAUGGUGCCGUAACUUCGGGAGAAGGCACGCUGAUAUGUAGGUGAAGUCCCUCGCGGAUGGAGCUGAAAUCAGUCGAAGAUACCAGCUGGCUGCAACUGUUUAUUAAAAACACAGCACUGUGCAAACACGAAAGUGGACGUAUACGGUGUGACGCCUGCCCGGUGCCGGAAGGUUAAUUGAUGGGGUCAGCGCAAGCGAAGCUCUUGAUCGAAGCCCCGGUAAACGGCGGCCGUAACUAUAACGGUCCUAAGGUAGCGAAAUUCCUUGUCGGGUAAGUUCCGACCUGCACGAAUGGCGUAAUGAUGGCCAGGCUGUCUCCACCCGAGACUCAGUGAAAUUGAACUCGCUGUGAAGAUGCAGUGUACCCGCGGCAAGACGGAAAGACCCCGUGAACCUUUACUAUAGCUUGACACUGAACAUUGAGCCUUGAUGUGUAGGAUAGGUGGGAGGCUUUGAAGUGUGGACGCCAGUCUGCAUGGAGCCGACCUUGAAAUACCACCCUUUAAUGUUUGAUGUUCUAACGUUGACCCGUAAUCCGGGUUGCGGACAGUGUCUGGUGGGUAGUUUGACUGGGGCGGUCUCCUCCUAAAGAGUAACGGAGGAGCACGAAGGUUGGCUAAUCCUGGUCGGACAUCAGGAGGUUAGUGCAAUGGCAUAAGCCAGCUUGACUGCGAGCGUGACGGCGCGAGCAGGUGCGAAAGCAGGUCAUAGUGAUCCGGUGGUUCUGAAUGGAAGGGCCAUCGCUCAACGGAUAAAAGGUACUCCGGGGAUAACAGGCUGAUACCGCCCAAGAGUUCAUAUCGACGGCGGUGUUUGGCACCUCGAUGUCGGCUCAUCACAUCCUGGGGCUGAAGUAGGUCCCAAGGGUAUGGCUGUUCGCCAUUUAAAGUGGUACGCGAGCUGGGUUUAGAACGUCGUGAGACAGUUCGGUCCCUAUCUGCCGUGGGCGCUGGAGAACUGAGGGGGGCUGCUCCUAGUACGAGAGGACCGGAGUGGACGCAUCACUGGUGUUCGGGUUGUCAUGCCAAUGGCACUGCCCGGUAGCUAAAUGCGGAAGAGAUAAGUGCUGAAAGCAUCUAAGCACGAAACUUGCCCCGAGAUGAGUUCUCCCUGACUCCUUGA